rnacentral:rRNA from 1 species
CAACCUGCCGACAACACUGGGAUAGCCUUUCGAAAGAAAGAUUAAUACCGGAUGGCAUAGUUUUCCCGCAUGGGAUAAUUAUUAAAGAAUUUCGGUUGUCGAUGGGGAUGCGUUCCAUUAGGCAGUUGGCGGGGUAACGGCCCACCAAACCAACGAUGGAUAGGGGUUCUGAGAGAAAGGUCCCCCACAUUGGAACUGAGACACGGUCCAAACUCCUACGGGAGGCAGCAGUGAGGAAUAUUGGUCAAUGGAUGAGAGUCUGAACCAGCCAAGUAGCGUGAAGGAUGACUGCCCUAUGGGUUGUAAACUUCUUUUAUACGGGAAUAAAGUUAGCCACGUGUGGCUUUUUGUAUGUACCGUAUGAAUAAGGAUCGGCUAACUCCGUGCCAGCAGCCGCGGUAAUACGGAGGAUCCGAGCGUUAUCCGGAUUUAUUGGGUUUAAAGGGAGCGUANGCGGGUUGUUAAGUCAGUUGUGAAAGUUUGCGGUUCAACCGUAAAAUUGCAGUUGAUACUGGCGACCUUGAGUGCAACAGAGGUAGGCGGAAUUCGUGGUGUAGCGGUGAAAUGCUUAGAUAUCACGAAGAACUCCGAUUG